UAGGCAAAUCCGGUCACUUAAUGCUGAGAUGUGAUGACGAACCACCAAGGUGGUGAAGCAAUUGAUGCCCCGCUUCCAGGAAAAGCCUCUAAGCUUCAGGUUACCAACAAUCGUACCCCAAACCGACACAGGUGGUCAGGUAGAGAAUACUCAGGCGCUUGAGAGAACUCGGGUGAAGGAACUAGGCAAAAUGGUGCCGUAACUUCGGGAGAAGGCACGCUGGCGGUAGGUAAAGUCCCUCGCGGACAGAGCUGAAGCCAGUCGAAGAUACCAGCUGGCUGCAACUGUUUAUUAAAAACACAGCACUGUGCAAACACGAAAGUGGACGUAUACGGUGUGACGCCUGCCCGGUGCUGGAAGGUUAAUUGAUGGGGUUAGCGCAAGCGAAGCUCCUGAUCGAAGCCCCAGUAAACGGCGGCCGUAACUAUAACGGUCCUAAGGUAGCGAAAUUCCUUGUCGGGUAAGUUCCGACCUGCACGAAUGGCGUAAUGAUGGCCAGGCUGUCUCCACCCGAGACUCAGUGAAAUUGAACUCGCUGUGAAGAUGCAGUGUACCCGCGGCAAGACGGAAAGACCCCGUGAACCUUUACUAUAGCUUGACACUGAACAUUGAGCCUUGAUGUGUAGGAUAGGUGGGAGGCUUUGAAGUGUGGACGCCAGUCUGCAUGGAGCCAACCUUGAAAUACCACCCUUUAACGUUUGAUGUUCUAACCUAGGCCCAUAAACUGGGUCGGGGACCGUGUCUGGUGGGUAGUUUGACUGGGGCGGUCUCCUCCUAAAGAGUAACGGAGGAGCACGAAGGUUGGCUAAGCAUGGUCGGACAUCAUGCGGUUAGUGCAAAGGCAUAAGCCAGCUUGACUGCGAGAGUGACGGCUCGAGCAGGUACGAAAGUAGGUCUUAGUGAUCCGGUGGUUCUGAAUGGAAGGGCCAUCGCUCAACGGAUAAAAGGUACUCCGGGGAUAACAGGCUGAUACCGCCCAAGAGUUCAUAUCGACGGCGGUGUUUGGCACCUCGAUGUCGGCUCAUCACAUCCUGGGGCUGAAGUAGGUCCCAAGGGUAUGGCUGUUCGCCAUUUAAAGUGGUACGCGAGCUGGGUUUAGAACGUCGUGAGACAGUUCGGUCCCUAUCUGCCGUGGGCGUUGGAAGAUUGAGAGGGGUUGCUCCUAGUACGAGAGGACCGGAGUGAACGCACCACUGGUGUUCGGGUUGUCAUGCCAAUGGCAUUGCCCGGUAGCUAAGUGCGGAAGAGAUAACCGCUGAAAGCAUCUAAGCGGGAAACUUGCCUCGAGAUGAGUCUUCCCUGUCGCUUUAAGCGACCUAAAGGAACGUUUAAGACUAAGACGUUGAUAGGCUGGGUGUGUAAGCGUAGCGAUACGUUGAGCUAACCAGUACUAAUGAACCGUGAGGCUUAACCUG
rnacentral:rRNA from 1 species